GCUGCUGUGAACAUGGGUGUGCAAAUAUCUCUUUGAAUCCUUGCUUUUAACUCUUUUGGGUGUAUACCCAGAAGAGGGAUUGCUGGGUCACGUGGCGGCCCCACGUUAAAUUUUUGGAGAAACUGCCACACUGUCUUCCCCAGUGGCUGCGCCAUUUUAUGUUUCCGCCAGCAGAGCACAGGUUCCAAUUUCUCCACAUCCUCAGCAACACUUACUUUUGUUUCUUUGAUGGGCUCCGUGGUGUGAUGGGUGUGGGGUGGUAUCUCGCUGUGGUUUUGGCGUAUGUUACCUUUCACUCAAGAAAAAGCAUUCUUCAUUCCGGAUUUGGUGGGAGUGUUUUGAGGAGGAACCAUAAAAGCAAAGUUCUCCACCGAAUGGCAGCUCAGGGCACAUUCAUCAACCUACGCCUGGGCCCAAAGACGGGAUCCGACCUUUAGAAGGAGCUGGCUGGGAAGCCCUGCAUCGCCCGGCCGUGCUGAGCCCCAGAGACGUCCCCAGGGAUUCCUGACCAUUAAAUCGUGCCCUGAAUCUGGGGUGGGAACGGCCCUCUGUAACGUAACACUGCUGACAACUUUGUGCUGGCCCUUAUGUAAAUGGGGGAGUGCUCUUCCAAGCAUCAGGGUCAGGCACGGACACUCCUCCUAUUUCAGCGUUGGAGGUGGACUUGACCGAGGCAGCGGAGGAAUCCGAGCAGACACCGUUUGUGCAGACAGCUGAACAGGCUUGUUCCAGGAGACCACGCCAAUUUAGUGUCUUUGUUGCUUUUCUUUUUUCCAAAACCACGUCCACAUUUGUCACCGUAUCUUAGCCUCUCAGUAAUCUUUGGAACUAGCGGAGAUCAGCCCAUUUGACAGCAAGAACCAUAGUCUCUGAGACGUGAAGUACCUUCUGCAGGGGACGCAGCUGGUUAACAGAAACGCCACUAGAACCCAGCAUCCUGGCUGUGGACCAGUGGUCCAUUUCACAGAGAUGAUCCCCGCUGGGAGUUAAGAUUUCGUGCAUCUGAAUAGCCUGCUUUCUUCAGGACUUUUUACGGCUCGAAGCAAAUUAUUGCGUGGAGCAGCAGCAGAGGCGCAGCUUUGCGUCUGGCCCUUUCUCCAUAGAUCCUGGUGGUAAAGCCCAGCUCCGUGAAGAUGGGCGCACCGCCCCCGCCCCCGGGCCUCCCUAACCUCAGCGGGUACCACCCAGGGCUCCUCACAAGACUUCGAGACUCAGUCUGGUUAACUGUGCUUAGCUUCAGGUUAGAAACCACUGCUGAUGACUCUCAUGAUCAUUAAAAUCAGCUUCUCAAAACACGAAUGUCAUAGACUAAAGAACUUCCCGGGCCUCUUGUUGUUGCCCUGCUUAGCUCAGGUGAGAGAUCAUGUGAAGUUCUGUGCCACUGGCGGUGGUCUCUGAGUGACUGGUGUUUUCCUUCUGGAGUUUCAGUGGCCUGAAGUAGACACACAGGUCUGGGCAGCCCUCACCAGGCUAUUUGCAAAUGUGCAAGCCCACGCAUAAAUGGUCCGUCUUCUGGAAUUUACUAGCUGGAGACCUGAGUGGCCAAGAGCACAGGGGCUUGUGGACACGGCAUGUGGGUGCCACUGAUAGACAAAGGCAACCAGCUGACUCUUAUGGCUUCUCUCCACGGAGGUCAUUCCUCAGCUCAGGUGGCCUGUGCCGAAUAUGAGCCCAGAGCGUGAUGAAGCUGUCGCUACGGGGACGGCAGAAUCAGUGCCUGAGGGUUUUAGGUUACGAAGCACCUUUUGUCAAGGAUACCAUGACUGGAGGAAAGAGCUUUUGUUAUCAUGAAAAACAAUGAUCAGUCUUAUGUUGCUCUUUGGAACGAAAUCCUCAGAGCCUACUUUAAAAUUAUAGACCUUAAAAGUUGCCUAUUUCUUUUCAACCAAAGAUACCCAACGUUAGCAUUACUUAAAAAUAGUUUUUAACUAGUGGAUAAUGUUACGUAUGAGAUGCCCUUCCAAAGCAUCUUUGCACUUUACAGCUUCUCAGAUGAUACCACCCUGUUAAAGCCUGUUCAUGAACCAUGGGGCUGACACCCCACAGAAAAGCUCAUGCAGGAUAGCCAGAAAUUUCCUUCCCGUGUCAUACUCAAACAAAGUUUGAAAAUAAAAAGUCUUUCCCUCA